rnacentral:rRNA from 1 species
AGGGAAUAGAUACCCGGGUAGUCCUGGCCCUAAACGGUGCGUGUUUGCUGUAGGAGGAAUCGACCCCUUCUGUGGCGAAAGCUAAACGCGUUAAAAACACGCCGCCUGGGGAGUACGGUCGCAAGAUUAAAACUCAAAGAAAUUGACGGGGGCCGUGCACAAGCGGUGGAGUAUGUGGCUUAAUUCGAUGCAACGCGAAGAACCUUACCUGGCCUUGACAUGCAAGUGGUAGAACCAUGAAAGUGGGACGACCCCGCAAGGGGAGCUUGCACAGGUGCUGCAUGGCUGUCGUCAGCUCGUGUCGUGAGAUGUUGGGGUUAAGUCCCGCAACGAGCGCAACCCCUAUGUCCUGUUGCCACCCGAACGAGAGUUUGGAGCACUCUGGACAGACUGCCUCGCUUAAACGGGGAGGAAGGUGGGGAUGACGUCAAGUCAGUAUGGCCCUUACGGCCAGGGCUGCACACGUACUACAAUGCCCGCUACAAAGGGAAGCAAGACCGUCAGGUGGAGCCAAUCCCAGAAAAGCGGGCCCAGUUCAGAUUGUCGUCU